rnacentral:lncRNA from 1 species
UUUGGUUCGGAGUUAAGAAAAAAUAGCUAUUCCAGGAAUAGGGUUAAGUUCAGAGUUAAAAUGAUGUUAAAAUUUUUUUGUGUUUGGUUGGAGGUUGGAGUUAGUAUAGGAUAGUGAAAAAAAAUGUUUGGUUGGAGUAGGUGGGAUAAAAAUAUAAUGAUUGAUAAAGAAGAAAAAGGUGAGAGCUCGGAAUGCGUGCGGGGUUAAAGUUGGGAGGGGGAGUGGGGUUAAUGAUUGAUAAAGAAGAAAAAGGUGAGGGCCCGGAAUGCGUGCGGGGUUAAAGUUGGGAGGGGGAGUGGGGUUAAUGAUUGAUAAAGAAGAAAAAGGUGAGGGCUCGGAAUGCGUGCGGGGUUAAAGUUGGGAGGGGGAGUGGGGUUAAUGAUUGAUAAAGAAGAAAAAGGUGAGGGCUCGGAAUGCGUGCGGGGUUAAAGUUGGGAGGGGGAGUGGGGUUAGUAAACCCCACUAACCCGGUUUGGGGUGGGGUUUACUAACCCCACCCCAAAAGAGUGGUGUUUGGAUAUAAAU